rnacentral:rRNA from 1 species
UACGUAGGGUGCAAGCGUUAAUCGGAAUUACUGGGCGUAAAGCGUGCGCAGGCGGUUUUGUAAGUCUGACGUGAAAUCCCCCGGGCUCAACCUGGGAAUUGCGUUGGAGACUGCAAGGCUGGAGUCUGGCAGAGGGGGGUAGAAUUCCACGUGUAGCAGUGAAAUGCGUAGAGAUGUGGAGGAACACCGAUGGCGAAGGCAGCCCCCUGGGUCAAGACUGACGCUCAUGCACGAAAGCGUGGGGAGCAAACAGGAUUACGAA